rnacentral:rRNA from 1 species
CAGCCGCCGCGGUAAAACGGAGGGUGCAAGCGUUAAUCGGAAUUACUGGGCGUAAAGCGCACGCAGGCGGUUUGUUAAGUCAGAUGUGAAAUCCCCGAGCUUAACUUGGGAACUGCAUUUGAAACUGGCAAGCUAGAGUCUUGUAGAGGGGGGUAGAAUUCCAGGUGUAGCGGUGAAAUGCGUAGAGAUCGGGAGGAACAUCAGUGGCGAAGGCGGCCAUCUGGGACAACACUGACGCUGAGGCACGAAAGCGUGGGGAGCAAACAGGAUUAGAUACCCGGGUAGUCCCUGUCUCUUAUAC